rnacentral:rRNA from 1 species
GAGUUUGAUCGUGGCUCAGGAUGAACGCUGGCGGCGUGCCUAAUACAUGCAAGUCGAGCGAACAGACGGGGAGCUUGCUCCCCUGACGUUAGCGGCGGACGGGUGAGUAACACGUGGGUAACCUACCUAUAAGACUGGGAAUAACUCCGGGAAACCGGGGCUAAUGCCGGAUAACAUGUUGGACCGCAUGGUCCUACAGUGAAAGACGGUCUUGCUGUCACUUAUAGGUGGACCCGCGCCGUAUUAGCUAGUUGGUAAGGUAACGGCUUACCAAGGCAACGAUACGUAGCCGACCUGAGAGGGUGAUCGGCCACACUGGAACUGAGACACGGUCCAGACUCCUACGGGAGGCAGCAGUAGGGAAUCUUCCGCAAUGGGCGAAAGCCUGACGGAGCAACGCCGCGUGAGUGAUGAAGGCC